UAUAAUCUAGAUAAGCUGCAUCACAUGAUAAUACAAUACAUCAUAGAUGGAUUGGUCAAGACUGACUUGCUUGGUAACCAGGAUGAGGAGAAGAUAUGCAAGAACAGCAAGCUAGUUCAAAUUUCAAUUUACUCAUCAUGAACCUGCGAGAUCUGUGGAGUAACUGCAUUCAACAUUUCCAGUGGCCAGAUAAACGAGGCAAAUAGCAGUACUGCCACAGCCGCAUCAGUACCAGCAGCACCCAUGAUCCAGGUUGAAACCUGAACCAUGUGGCAUGGCCGCUGCAUUAUGAAUUUCCUUCUUGCCUGCAUGAUUCUUGCCUUCGUAAUUUCAUGGCUUUUUCACUUCAAAGUGCUUUCAUGAACACCAGCAGGGGAAAGAAAAAGGCUUCUGUGAAUGUGUGGGGGUAAGUUGCAGUUCCAAUCAUCCUCUUGCUUGUGCUGCUACGUUGCUGCUGUACCCGUUCCUACUUUGCCUGCGUAGUCUAGCACAUAUUUUGCGUAUGUGAAUCUUAUUUGUACAGUUAAGGACUCCCCAGUGUGGAAAGAUCCGGAGGAGAUGCUGGUCAAGCCCUCGUACCUGUAAAUUGUGAAGCAUUGCUAAUGAAAGCUACCGGCACAAUGUGAAAGUAUGUAUUUUCUCAAUGAUCCUUGUAAUACACAGGUUACGGGCACAAAUGUCGUCAAUUUGAAAUCUUCGAUCCAUUCAAAUGGUAUGGCAUUAUUGAAUAUUAUAUGAUUCACUAGGUAA
rnacentral:sRNA from 1 species